AUGAUUCUACCGGAGAUUAUAUCAGCUGAGCAGUCAGCAUUCGUUCCUGGAAGGUUGAUUACCGACAACAUAAUCUCAGCAUACGAGUGUUUGCACUUUAUGAAACGGAAGAGGUCAAGGAACAAUGUUUAUGCUGCACUAAAACUUGACAUGAUGAAGGCUUAUGAUCGAGUGGAGUGGUCUUAUUUGAAGUCAAUCAUGGAAAAACUGGGUUUUGCUACACCUUGGGUGACUGUCGUGAUGAAUAUGGUGAGCUCAGUAUCUUUUUCUGUUAUGUUUAAUGGUGUGAAGUCAGAGGAAUUCCAACCUAUGAGAGGUAUUGGAUUCGGAAAUCCAAUCUCUCCUUACCUUUUCUUGUUAGCAGCAGAGGGCCUUUCGUGCCUGUUAAACUCUCAAAAUGAAUCAUCCCAGCUCAGCGGCAUUAAGGUGGCACCGUCGGCACCGACGGUGAAUCAUCUUUUAUUCGCGGAUGAUAGCCUGCUAUUUUUCAGGGCAAGUGUUGAUGGAGCGGAGGAAGUUUCAAACCUUUUGAAUACUUUUUGCAUGGCAUCGGGCCAGAGAAUAAAUAAGGAAAAAUCAUCUAUAUUUUUUAGUAAGGACUGCCCAGAGAUAGUGCGUGAUGUUGCCAAGGGUUUUCUGCAAGUCCACAAUGAGUCUUUGAAUGACAGAUAUUUGGGCAUGCCAACUGAUGUGGGCCACUCAAAGAAGGGUACGUUCAAGUAUUUGAGUGACAGGGUGUGGGACAAGGUGAAGGGAUGGAUGAGCAAAUGUCUAUCAGCAGGGGGCAAGGAUGUUCUUAUCAAAUCAGUAGCACAAGCCAUCCCGGUUUUUUUGAUGUCUUGCUUUAAGCUCCACCAAGGGGACUGUGUGAUCACAUCAAGUCUAUUAUCAGGAAAUUCUGGUGGGGAUGUAAGCAAGGUGAGCGCAAGCCGGCAUGGGUUUCUUGGGAUGUCAUGA
rnacentral:rRNA from 1 species